rnacentral:rRNA from 1 species
AUUGAACGCUGGCGGCAGGCCUAACACAUGCAAGUCGAGCGGAUGAAGGGAGCUUGCUCCUGGAUUCAGCGGCGGACGGGUGAGUAAUGCCUAGGAAUCUGCCUGGUAGUGGGGGAUAACGUCCGGAAACGGGCGCUAAUACCGCAUACGUCCUGAGGGAGAAAGUGGGGGAUCUUCGGACCUCACGCUAUCAGAUGAGCCUAGGUCGGAUUAGCUAGUUGGUGGGGUAAAGGCCUACCAAGGCGACGAUCCGUAACUGGUCUGAGAGGAUGAUCAGUCGCACUGGAACUGAGACACGGUCCAGACUCCUACGGGAGGCAGCAGUGGGGAAUAUUGGACAAAGGGCGAAAGCCUGAUCCAGCCAUGCCGCGUGUGUGAAGAAGGUCUUCGGAUUGUAAAGCACUUUAAGUUGGGAGGAAGGGCAGUAAGUUAAUACCUUGCUGUUUUGACGUUACCAACAGAAUAAGCACCGGCUAACUUCGUG